CAAGUCGAACGAGGUGGCCCACAGAAUUUGAUAGAAACUUUGAGAGCUUGCUCUAGAAGUGGAAAGAGAAGGACGUGGAAUUUCCACCUAGUGGCAAACGGGUGAGUAACACGUGGGUUACCUACCUCUUAGAUGGGGAUACCAAUUGGAAACGAUUGUUAAUACCGAAUGUGAUCUACGGAUUAAAGGAAGCCUUUAAAGCUUCGCUAAGAGAUGGGCCUGCGGUGCAUUAGAUAGUUGGUGGGGUAAGAGCCUACCAAGUCAACGAUGCAUAGCUGAACUGAGAGGAUGAUCGGCCACACUGGGACUGAGACACGGCCCAGACUCCUACGGGAGACAGCAGUUAGGAAUAUUCGUCAAUGGGGGAAACCCUGAACGAGCAAUGCCGCGUGAACGAUGACGGUCCUCUGGAUUGUAAAGUUCUGUUGUUUGGGAAGAACGGCUCUAAUAGGAAAUGAUUAGAGAUUGACUGUACCAUUCAAGAAAGCCACGGCUAACUACGUGCCAGCAGCCGCGGUAAUACGUAGGUGGCGAGCGUUAUCCGGAUUUAUUGGGCGUAAAGCGUCCGCAGCCGGUUUAUUAAGUAUAGAAUAAAACUUCGGGGCUCAACCCCGUCUCGUUCUAUAAACUGAUAGACUAGAGUGUGGUAGAGGCAAGUGGAAUUUCUAGUGUAGCGGUAGAAUGCGUAGAUAUUAGAAGGAACACCAGUGGCGAAGGCGACUUGCUGGGCCAUCACUGACGGUCAGGGACGAAAGCGUGGGGAGCGAAUAGGAUUAGAUACCCUAGUAGUCCACGCCGUAAACGAUGAGCACUAAGUGUCGGGCAACCGGUGCUGAAGUUAACACAUUAAGUGCU
rnacentral:rRNA from 1 species